rnacentral:rRNA from 1 species
UACGUAGGGUGCGAGCGUUGUCCGGAAUUAUUGGGCGUAAAGAGCUUGUAGGCGGUUUGUCGCGUCUGCUGUGAAAAUCCGGGGCUCAACCCCGGACUUGCAGUGGGUACGGGCAGACUGGAGUGUGGUAGGGGAGACUGGAAUUCCUGGUGUAGCGGUAGAAUGCGCAGAUAUCAGGAGGAACACCGAUGGCGAAGGCAGGUCUCUGGGCCACUACUGACGCUGAGAAGCGAAAGCAUGGGGAGCGAACAGG